AAUAGAUACCCUGGUAGUCCAUGCCGUAAACGUUGGGCACUAGGUGUGGGGUCCAUUCCACGGAUUCCGUGCCGCAGCUAACGCAUUAAGUGCCCCGCCUGGGGAGUACGGCCGCAAGGCUAAAACUCAAAGAAAUUGACGGGGGCCCGCACAAGCGGCGGAGCAUGCGGAUUAAUUCGAUGCAACGCGAAGAACCUUACCAAGGCUUGACAUACACCGGAAAAGUGCAGAGAUGUGCUCCCCGCAAGGUCGGUGUACAGGUGGUGCAUGGUUGUCGUCAGCUCGUGUCGUGAGAUGUUGGGUUAAGUCCCGCAACGAGCGCAACCCUGUCCCAUGUUGCCAGCGGGUUAUGCCGGGGACUCAUGGGAGACUGCCGGGGUCAACUCGGAGGAAGGUGGGGAUGACGUCAAAUCAUCAUGCCCCUUAUGUCUUGGGCUUCACGCAUGCUACAAUGGCCGGUACAAAGGGCUGCGAUACCGUAAGGUGGGCGAAUCCCAAAAAGCCGGUCUCAGUUCGGAUUGGGGUCUGCAACUCGACCCC
rnacentral:rRNA from 1 species